rnacentral:ncRNA from 1 species
GCUGGAAUUGUGCGGGGUGUAGUUCACGAACACGAAGCCGCGGGUCUGGUCGAUGAUGUGGAACAGCGGGUUCCAGUCGAACAUCGCCAGCAUGAAGUUGGGCAGGUUGUUGGCGGCGAACAUCUUGCCCGAGGCGACCAUGUUGGCGCGG